AAUGCAUUUCUUAGGGGGAUAGAUAUAAUUUUUUUAAACAAUUAGCUUAUUGUAGACAUGCAUGAAUAUUACUAAUUGUUAGGCAGGGUUGAGCAUCAACUUUGCUUUGUUUCUCCUCCUUAGAGAUGAAAAGCUUAUGUUCACUUAAAUAAGUAGAUGAGAAUGAAAGUUUUGCUACAGUAAUGUUACUCAGUUUUAUUGACUCAAGUCAUAUGCAAGAAACACAUAUAUCUCUGUCAUGGUUAACUUUAUGUGUCACCUUGGCAAGGCUGUGGUGCCCAGUUAUUUGGUUAAACACUAGUCUAGAUGUUGCUGUGAAGCUGGAAACCAUCAUUCUCAGCAAACAAGAACAGAAAAUCAAACACUGCAUGUUCUCAGUCUAAGUGGGAGCUGAACAAUGAGAAAAC
rnacentral:lncRNA from 1 species